GAUGAACGCUAGCGGCAGGCUUAACACAUGCAAGUCGAGGGGCAGCGGGUGUAGCAAUACAUGCCGGCGACCGGCGCAAGGGUGCGUAACGCGUGAGCAAUCUGCCCGUAUCAGGGGAAUAAGCGAUGGAAACGUCGUCUAAUACCGCAUAACACCAAUGAUGGCAUCAUCGAUGGUUGAAAGCUUCGGUGGAUACGGAUGAGCUCGCGAGACAUUAGUUAGUUGGCGGGGUAACGGCCCACCAAGACCGCGAUGUCUAGGGGAACUGAGAGGUUGGUCCCCCACACUGGAACUGAGACACGGUCCAGACUCCUACGGGAGGCAGCAGUGAGGAAUAUUGGACAAUGGCCGGAAGGCUGAUCCAGCCAUGCCGCGUGAAGGAAUAAGGUCCUAUGGAUUGUAAACUUCUUUUGUACGAGAGCAAUAAGUGUCACGUGUGACACGAUGAGAGUAUCGUACGAAUAAGCAUCGGCUAACUCCGUGCCAGCAGCCGCGGUAAUACGGAGGAUGCGAGCGUUAUCCGGAUUUAUUGGGUUUAAAGGGUGCGUAGGCGGUUUGCUAAGCGGGAGGUGAAAUGCCGGCGCUCAACGUCGGAAGUGCCUCCCGAACUGGUGGACUUGAAUGACUCUGCCGUGGGAGGAAUGUGUAGUGUAGCGGUGAAAUGCUUAGAGAUUACACAGAACACCGAUUGCGAAGGCAUCUCACGAAGGGUUGAUUGACGCUGAGGCACGAAAGCGUGGGGAUCAAACA
rnacentral:rRNA from 1 species